ACAAUAGUAGAGAUCGGGUAACUAUUAGAAAACAACGUUGACAUAAUCAGAAAAGAACAUAAGAAAAGCGAAUUUCUAUUAUUGUUACGGUCUCGUCAUAUAACUUUGGUUUCCUAGAUAAGAUUUAAUAAGAUUAUCCAUCGGAUCGAGAAGCAUCUUCGGCUAGUAUAUUCCACCCACGCUGCGAUGAUAGUUGAGUUGGGCGUGUUGGGCAUAGUCAUAACUCUGGUCGUACCAUUCGGCCGUUGUGCUUGCGGUAUUCGCGGUAUUCGAGGAAUGGGUACCAUGAGCUGCGUGCGCGGCAUGUUGAUGGCUUGUCACGUGACUCGACGAAUAUUCACUACCUUGAAAAUGAUUGAACUGUCCCCAAGAACCUGGAUUUGAUGAAACAUUUAUCAAGGUACCAGCAUUAGGAGUCAAAGAUGUGGGAGCAGCAUGAGCAACCGGAGGUUGAAUGGAUGGCACUUGACUGAUUUGCAUGCUAUUCAUAUGUCCAGAGAGGGAAGUCAGGUGUUCCGAAAUAGAGACAGCAUGUCCUUGUAAAGUGUUCGUCGUAGGGAUUGGAGCCAUCGACGUGGUCAUCUGGGAAACACUUCCAACAACUUGGUGUACGGUAUUCGGUGUUUGGUGCAGAGCCGUCGGACUAUGAUGCAAACUCGUUGGUACUUGAGGUAUUUCGCUUGACAUUUGAGGUAUUUGAGCGAUUUGAGCCAACUCGUGACUCGCUGCAGCGUAUUGACAGGGCGUUAGGGGUAAACUUGGUACAGAAUGUGCUAUGCUUCCUGCGUGUUUACGAAGACGAGCUCUUCGAUUGCUGAACCAGACCUAGAAGAUGGACGUUGAGGCGGGUGACGCUUUUUGAAGAUGAUGAUAAGUAUAAAUAAUCUUCUGCUGAUUUUUGUUACUUAAUUGUGUUUCAAUCUUUUUGUUUACAAAUAUUAUUGAGAACAAUCUCAAAGAAAAAUAAAUAACUCACUUGAAUCCUAGCUUCUGUUAGACCAGUUCUCUGAGCCAAUUCUUCUCUAGCAUAAACAUCUGGAUACUGAGCACGUUGAAAAGCAGCCUCGAGUUGCUCAAGUUGUUCUCCAGUGAACGUUGUUCUACUUCUACGUUGUUUUCGUUUCAGAGGUGUAUGUGUGCCACAGUCAUUAAGGUAUCCAUAAAGUUCUCGUAAAAUAACCGUCCAACAUGCCAUUUUGUUCGACGUCGUCAAGACGCCAUUUUGUCGAGUGUUUCAAAGCUAUCAGCAGACUAUUGAUUCUUACGUGUGGAGAUCUAAACAAGUGGAUAAAGAGGGUCUGAUCUUUGAGCAAGGACUUAGCCUGUACCGUAGCUAACGUUGAAUCCUUCUUGAGCCUAUCAAGAACCUUUUAACAUCGGCUUGGGUUUGCGAAUUCGCACUGAUCAAUGUAUUGAUGUUUAUUUGUGCGAUGAGCAGCUCGUGCGUUCUUAUUUUCUUUUUUAAUAAAAGAAUGGACAGAAGAAAAAAAAAUAUAUAUAUAUAUAUAUAUAUAUAUAUAUAUAUAUAUGUAUAUAGGAAAAGUAAGAAAAACUCGAGCUUCAUCGUGACCACCGACGCAAUGUUUGCUCUUAAAGUGAACUUCAUUGUCCAAAUUUUUCUUAUUAUCGUUCAAUCGAGCAUCUAUGAGCUCAUUGUGUAAGAGAAAAUAUACGAGGAUUGGAUAAUGUCGGUAUAAGCUCAGAUGUGCCUCCACAGUUCAAUAUUAUUCCCUCUUCUUUUCAUUCAUGGCAUUAUCUCGGAUCAUCUUUAAAAUGGAAUUGUUACUUACGCCUGAUUUCAUAACGAAUAACAAGAAUGGUAACUUGAGAAACGUCAAGGAGACCGGCAAAAUAAAACGAGUAUCAAGAUCACUUUGUUCGAAAUUUAUUCGAGUGUUUAAACGAUGGUUAAUUCAACUUUUUCUUUUUUUUUUGCAACUAG